AUUGAACGCUGGCGGCAUGCCUUACACAUGCAAGUCGAACGGCAGCGGACCUUCGGGUGCCGGCGAGUGGCGAACGGGUGAGUAAAGUAUCGGAACGUACCUUUCAGUGGGGGAUAACGUAGCGAAAGUUACGCUAAUACCGCAUAUUCUGUGAGCAGGAGAGCAGGGGAUCGCAAGACCUUGCGCUGAUUGAGCGGCCGAUAUCCGAUUAGCUAGUUGGUGAGGUAAAGGCUCACCAAGGCGACGAUCUGUAGCGGGUCUGAGAGGAUGAUCCGCCACACUGGAAAUGAGACACGGUCCAGACUACUACGGGAGGCAGCAGUGGGGAAUUUUGGACAAUGGGGGCAACCCUGAUCCAGCCAUGCCGCGUGAGUGAAGAAGGCCUUCGGGUUGUAAAGCUCUUUCGGCCGGGAAGAAAUCGCGCCAGUUAAUACCUGGUGUGGAUGACGGUACCGGAAUAAGAAGCACCGGCUAACUAUGUGCCAGCCGCCGCCGUAACAC
rnacentral:rRNA from 1 species